AUUGAACGCUGGCGGCAGGCCUAACACAUGCAAGUCGAACGGUAACAGGAAGCAGCUUGCUGCUUUGCUGACGAGUGGCGGACGGGUGAGUAAUGUCUGGGAAACUGCCCGAUGGAGGGGGAUAACUACUGGAAACGGAAGCUAAUACCGCAUAACGUCGCAAGACCAAAGAGGGGGACCUUAGGGCCUCUUGCCAUCGGAUGUGCCCAGAUGGGAUUAGCUAGUAGGUGGGGUAACGGCUCACCUAGGCGACGAUCCCUAGCUGGUCUGAGAGGAUGACCAGCCACACUGGAACUGAGACACGGUCCAGACUCCUACGGGAGGCAGCAGUGGGGAAUAUUGCACAAUGGGCGCAAGCCUGAUGCAGCCAUGCCGCGUGUAUGAAGAAGGCCUUCGGGUUGUAAAGUACUUUCAGCGGGGAGGAAGGGAGUAAAGUUAAUACCUUUGCUCAUUGACGUUACCCGCAGAAGAAGCACCGGCUAACUCCGUG
rnacentral:rRNA from 1 species